GAUAUUGAUGAUUCAGUUGUUAAGAUUAGGAAUGCAGUGAGGUUUGUUAGAUCUUCUCCUUCUAGACAACUUGUUUUUAACCAAUGUGCGGAGAGGUUGAAAAUUGGGAGUAAAAAAUCUGUUUGCUUGGAUGUUGCAACUAGAUGGAACUCUACAUAUAUGAUGCUAGAUGCGGCUGAUAAAUUUGAUGUGUUUUUUAUGAGGUUAGAAGAAACCGAUCCUAGGUAUUUGAGUUACUUUGAGGUUGAUUCAAAAGGAAAACAAAAAAACUUAGGUCCUCCUGCUUUAGAAGAUUGGGAAAAGGCUAGAUCUUUUGUCAAGUUCUUGAAACUAUUUUACACGGUUACAUUGAAAUUUUCUGGCUCGUUGUAUGUGACAUCUAAUUCUUUCUUUCAUGAAUUGAUUUCCAUGCAUACAAGCAUAUCUCAACUUUGUAGAAGUGAAGAUGUUUAUGUAAGUAAAAUGGCAAAGAAUAUGAUGGCAAAGUAUAAAAAAUAUUGGGGGGAUCAAGAUACACAAAACUUUUUGUUGUAUGUGGCUGUUGUGUUAGAUCCACGUUUCAAAUUGAAGUAUGUGAGAUUUUGUUUUGGAAGAUUGUAUGAUGUUGAAGAGGCUGAAAAUUUUACAAUUAAGGUUAAAGAUACUUUGCUAAGGUUGUUUGAGCAUUAUAUGAAUGUUGAUGAGAAUGUUGAGGUUGUUCAUGGUGUUGGAACUAGUAUAAAUGAAAAUGUUAAUGUUGAUUUAAUGGUGGUAAAUGAUGAUAUGUUGGAUGACUUAGCUUCUCAAUUCAAAAAAUAUUUAGAGGAAGAAGGCGGUGUACAAAAAAAAAAUGAGGUUGAGAGGUAUUUAGGUGAUGAUUGUGAGGAUCCUAAUGAUUUUAAAUUAGAUAUUUUGGGUUGGUGGAGGUGUAAUGCUACAAAAUACAAGAUUCUUUUUAAGGUGGCAUAACAUGUGUUAGCUAUUCUGGUAUCUACAGUUGUUUCUGAAGCAGCUUUCAGUACUGGUGGUCGUAUUUUAGAUCCAUUUCGAAGCUCUUUAUCUCCAUCGACAGUGCAAGCACUGGUUUGUUGUCAGAAUUGGUUGAGUUUAGCAUCAAUUCCAAUCAACAUCAGCAACUACAUGGAUUAUAUUGAAAAUUCUGAGAUGAUUGAGUCAGAAUUUGGUGAAAGUUUAAAAAUCUCAACUGAUUGUUUGUAAGCAGUAUUGGUGGCUUGGUGCAAUUUUGGAAUAUAAUUGUUCUGGCAUUAUCCUUACUGGAAUUUUUGGAUGCCCAUGCUUCUGUUGCUGGAAUUUUUGGAUGCUGGUGUUGCUGUGUUUUUUUCUUCAAACUAUGCC